CCUGGGACCUGGGAUCCUUCUGUGGAAUAUUUAGAAGCCAAGAUCUGGGAACUAGCUAACUUAAACUCCUUGAAGACACGAAGCGGUUAACUUACAGUUGUAUCCAGUGCAUCCAGCCUAAUGUCCUAAUGCCCAACUGAUUUUGAAUGAAGCCUGGCUUCAUCGCAGAGACUCCGCCCACGAGCAUCCAAAUGGCGGAAGAACUGCACGCUACGUCGUGACAUCUCACACAAAUGCGGAGGCAUCCUGACGCUACGCCACCGGCGUGGGCGGGGCGGCCGGCUCUUCCUUCCUCUCGGCUACUUCGGCUCCUCCCCUAGCGCUUCACACGCUCAUUGUGAAGCGACAGCGGGCAUCAACCCCUAGGGCUGUUUGAGACCUAGGGAUUCUAAAUCUUUGGCGCGCGUGAGCGCCCGCGCUGCUCCUUCCCCACUCCAA